rnacentral:rRNA from 1 species
AUGAUCCUCAAUGACACCCACUCGGGGACCUGUGGUCACCAUGCGUCCUCUCGGGCCAUCGUGGCUAAAGCAUACCGAGCUGGAUUCUAUUGGCCACGAGCAAAUUACAUGGCGAAAGAUAUAGUCGACAGAUAUGAAGGCUGUCAAUUUUACUCCGAUAUGUCUCACAAGUCAGCGUCAGUCCUGAAGACCAUCCCCCUCGUCUGGCCCUUCGCUGUUUGGGGACUGGAUAUGGUUGGACCGCUGAGAACCGGCAAAAGCGGCUUCACUCACGUGCUCGUUGCAGUCGACAAGUUUACCAAAUGGAUCGAAGCCAAACCUAUCAAGAACCUUGAUGCUAGCACCGCUGUCAGUUUUAUCAGGGCAUUGACAUUCAGAUAUGGAGUCCCAUACAACAUCAUCACGGACAACGGGUCGAACUUCGAUUCCGAUGAGUUCAGAGCUUUCUCCGCCCCUCAGGGCACUCGAGUCAACUAUGCUUCUGUCGCUCACCCGCAGUCGAACAGACAAGCAGAAAGAGCCAAUGGCCUAAUUCUCAAAGGACUGAAACCCCGACUGAUGCGUGAUCUCAAACACGCGGCAGGUGCUUGGGUUGAUGAAUUUUCGUCAGUUCUGUGGGGCUUAAGGACAACUCCUAAUCGGUCGACUGAAAGAACUCCUUUCUUCUUAGUUUAUGGAGCCGAAGCUGUUCUGCCAAGUGACUUGCUCCACAAUGCACCCCGAGUUGAACUCUUCUCCGAAGCGGAAGCAGAGCAGGCCCGACAAGAUUCAGUCGAUCUCCUAGAGGAUGACAUAAGAACAUCUUAA